rnacentral:rRNA from 2 species
GGAACUUGAGUGCAGAAGAGGAAAGUGGAAUUCCAAGUGUAGCGGUGAAAUGCGUAGAGAUUUGGAGGAACACCAGUGGCGAAGGCGACUUUCUGGUCUGUAACUGACACUGAGGCGCGAAAGCGUGGGGAGCAAACAGGAUUAGAUACCCUGGUAGUCCACGCCGUAAACGAUGAGUGCUAAGUGUUAGAGGGUUUCCGCCCUUUAGUGCUGCAGCUAACGCAUUAAGCACUCCGCCUGGGGAGUACGGCCGCAAGGCUGAAACUCAAAGGCAUUGACGGGGCCCGCACAAGCGGUGGAGCAUGUGGUUUAAUUUGAAGCAACGCGAAGAACCUUACCAGGUCUUGACAUCCUCUGACAACCCUAGAGAUAGGGCUUUCCCCUUCGGGGGACAGAGUGACAGGUGGUGCAUGGUUGUCGUCAGCUCGUGUCGUGAGAUGUUGGGUUAAGUCCCGCAACGAGCGCAACCCUUGAUGUUAGUUGCCAGCAUUCAGUUGGGCACUCUAAGGUGACUGCCGGUGACAAACCGGAGGAAGGUGGGGAUGACGUCAAAUCAUCAUGCCCCUUAUGACCUGGGCUACACACGUGCUACAAUGGAUGGUACAAAGGGCUGCAAACCUGCGAAGGUAAGCGAAUCCCAUAAAGCCAUUCUCAGUUCGGAUUGCAGGUGCAACUCGCCUGCAUGAAGCCGGAAUCG